rnacentral:lncRNA from 1 species
ACCACUCUGACAACAACAGACCACUCUGACGACAAAAGACCACUCUGACAACAACAGACCACUCUGACAACAACAGACCACUCUGACGACAAAAGACCACUCUGACAACAACAGACACACAACAAACCCUCGCCCUUGAGACUGAUGGCCUUUGGCAUUUCAUAACGAUGAGUGAAAAUUUGACAUUGCUAUGUAUGCAGUACUUAAAGAAAUAGUUUCACAAAUGCUGGUACGUCAUGUUCUGACUGUAUAUGUGUUUUAAUGAACUAGAUAUGUAUCACUGUUUAUAAUGUAGAAGAGUUGUUGUUUUAUUAAGUCUUAUUGAAGGAAGCAAACAGAUGGAAAGUACUCAGCAGACAGCCAGACAGACGCUAGUGGGGAUUCACUACCAGCUAUUCUGUUGAUUAACGCCUCGGUCACACCGACGGUGACAUUGCAUUGUGGUACACCAGAAGUACAUUCAUUUCCAAUGGAACGCUGCGUUUGUCUUGCAGCAUUGCGUUACAGAGGCAGUUGCAGUGCGUUCUGUGUGGUGCAUAUGUUGGAUUUAUAGAACUUAAUCAAACUUAUGAGUCAAACUGUGUGUGUAGACGGCUUGACAGAAACGGUAGCAGAAAGGUGAAUGUUAAACUUUUGUUUCACACAUAUCCAGAUGAUGCUGCGUAACAUUUUGCACAAUGACGCUGUCGGUGUGACCGAGGCGUCAGAAUCAGCGACAUUUCCCUGUCUCUCUGGCUUUUCUUAUCGUUACCAGUACAAUGUGUCUCUCUGUACAGAGUAUUAAACAGGAUAUUAAAACGCUCUUUGAUUUUUAGCACCACAGCUACAUCUGACAUGAUAUUACUUCAGCUUUUCCCCCACUGCCCUAAUAUGGAAAUGAUUUUUACUCAAACAACAAUUACACUGUUACAAGCGAGCAAGGCAAAGCACUCUCUCUGGAUAACAGAGUCUGUUAGAUGACAAAAUGUGAGCGUAUCAGUUGAAAACAACAACAUAGGGGCUUUGUUUCUAAAUGUCUCUGUUUCAAACUGGUAGGCCUAAGCUAUGUACUGAUGCUGUCAGCCUUUACAGUUAGAGCUUAAAGCUACUGCUAGAUACAGACAAAGUCUUAUCAUUAACCACAAACAGACCCCCACACACACACACUGAGAUAGAUAGAGUCACACAGGAAGAACUGAUACUGGUUGAAUUAGGGAACAACAAACCAAUGAGGAGGCAAUGCUAAUGAAGAAUGGUUGCCUCGACACCUCAGAGAACACAAUAUGGCCGCCUCCCAAAUGGCACAUACUGAUGGUCGAAGCUAAACAGUUUUUAAAGUACUCUCUAUCUUGGAAAUUCAGAUGGUGGUUCAUUUACAAUCAAGUAGAGACUACAUUUCCCCAUUGUCAUCCUCGCUCACUAUCAUUUUAUUUUUUAAAUGUAGUCGUCCAUGAAUAGCUGGCAGACAGAUAACAGCUCACAGUGAAUGGCUGCGUUUGGCUCCCCGGAUCCAGAAGGAGAGGACAGCAGAGAGGAUCACCUCCAUAACCAACACGCAGAGCAUCAGCA